UGGAGGAUACGGGUUGGGAUUCGGAGGUUUCGGCUUCGGAAGAAAAGGAUAUUAAUAGGAACCUGACGAAGUAUAUGAAGACCUUUGAUCUUGACCCAUUAUACACAUUUGUCAAUGUGUCAUUCUGAUUGUAUGGACUGUGUUGACGUCGACCUUGAAUAAA